rfam:Oryza sativa (indica cultivar-group) chromosome 1, whole genome shotgun sequence.
AAAAAUUUUAUUCGUGGUUUUUCUGUUCAAUAUUUAAUCGUCUGUCUUAUUUGAAUUUUUUUAUAAUUAAUAUUUUUAUUGUUAUUAUAUGAUAGAAUAUGAAUGGCACUUUAUGUGUGUCUAAAUUUUUUUUAAAAAAAAUUAAAUAAGACGGACGGUUAAAUGUUGGACACAUAAAUACAUGACUACACUAAAA